UACGAAGGGGACUAGCGUUGUUCGGAAUUACUGGGCGUAAAGCGCACGUAGGCGGAUUUGUUAGUCAGGGGUGAAAUCCCGGGGCUCAACCUCGGAACUGCCUUUGAUACUGGCUGUCUUGAGUUCGGGAGAGGUGAGUGGAAUGCCGAGUGUAGAGGUGAAAUUCGUAGAUAUUCGGCGGAACACCAGUGGCGAAGGCGACUCACUGGCCCGAUACUGACGCUGAGGCACGAAAGCGUGGGGAGCAAACAGG
rnacentral:rRNA from 1 species